rnacentral:rRNA from 2 species
UGGCUUCAGGGACGAAACGCUGGCGGGCGUGCCUAAAUACAUGCAAAGUCGAGCGGGACACAUGGGGAGCUUGCUCCCUGAUGUUAGCGGCGGGACGGGGUGAGUAACACGUGGGUAAACCUGCCUGUAAGACUGGGAUAACUCCGGGAAAACCGGGGCUAAUACCGGAUGGUUGUUUUGAACCGCAUGGUUCAAACAUAAAAGGUGGCUUCGGCUACCAACUUACAGAUGGACCCGCGGCGCAUUAGCUAGUUGGUGAGGUAACCGGCUCACCAAGGCAACGAUGCGUAGCCGACCUGAGAGGGUGAUCGGCCACACUGGGACUGAGACACGGCCCAGACUCCUACGGGAGGCAGCAGUAGGGAAUCUUCCGCAAUGGACGAAAGUCUGACGGAGCAACGCCGCGUGAGUGAUGAAGGUUUUCGGAUCGUAAAGCUCUGUUGUUAGGGAAGAACAAGUACCGUUCGAAUAGGGCGGUACCUUGACGGUACCUAACCAGAAAGCCACGGCUAACUACGUGCCAGCAGCCGCGGUAAUACGUAGGUGGCAAGCGUUGUCCGGAAUUAUUGGGCGUAAAGGGCUCGCAGGCGGUUUCUUAAGUCUGAUGUGAAAGCCCCCGGCUCAACCGGGGAGGGUCAUUGGAAACUGGGGAACUUGAGUGCAGAAGAGGAGAGUGGAAUUCCACGUGUAUGCGGUGAAAUGCGUAGAGAUGUGGAGGAACA